rnacentral:misc_RNA from 1 species
AAGUCGUAACAAGGUUUCCGUAGGUGAACCUGCGGAAGGAUCAUUAACACGUUAUCCACGUAUCUACCUAGGAGAACAGUUUUCACCCCUCUCUCUCGAAGAAUGAAUUGGCUAGCUUGCUUAGAGUCGUUGGAUGGGAUGCUUGCGUCAGACUCUACUCGUGACCUAUACAGAAGCUUCGGCCCUGUAUUAACAAUUGUAUCUCUCGGGAGACAAAGUCCAUCGAUAUUUGCUUCCAGUCCAUAGUGCCGUCGAUGGGCGCCUAUUUUACCAAUUUCACCCCCUUUUUGCUAGUUGACUUUUAUAUGUUGUACAUUGUGUUUCGGCACGUGUGCACACGUUUAAUUAUUUGAACGUUAAAAUUACAACUCUUAGCAAUGGAUAUCUUGGUUCUC